UACGAAGGGGGCUAGCGUUGUUCGGAAUUACUGGGCGUAAAGCGCACGUAGGCGGACUCUUAAGUCAGGGGUGAAAUCCCGGGGCUCAACCUCGGAACUGCCUUUGAUACUGUGAGUCUCGAGACCGGAAGAGGUGAGUGGAAUUCCUAGUGUAGAGGUGAAAUUCGUAGAGAUUAGGAAGAACACCAGUGGCGAAGGCGGCUCACUGGUCCGGUUCUGACGAUGAGGUGCGAAAGAGUGGGGAGCAAACAGG
rnacentral:rRNA from 1 species